UGAACAUUUUCUCACAAAGAAUCCGUUUGUAGACAUGUACACUCAUUUAAUCUGCAGCUACGAAGUACUUUGUCACUUCUCUGAAACAUUAUUCUAAGCAGAAUUAUCCCGAUUCAUAUAUUCUAAGAAUCUUGUGUGAAUUGUUUACGAGGAAAUUCUGACUGUCACAUUAACAAGGAUGAACACUCUUGACUCUGCUUCGGAUUCCCCAGUGAUAAUUGUGUCGAGUGAUGAAAGAGCUGACGGCGACAUUUUAAUGUAUGAUUGGCUUGGACCAUUGGAAUGAAUUCAUUUCAUGGUGCCACCACUUGGGAUGGUAUUAGCUGCAAAUAAAGACUUGUACUCAGCACUUAUUGCCUUUAAGAAGUAUGAGAUCCAUUUUGUGCUAACACUUACCGUGACACAGAAUUUUGGUUUAUGCAGUCUCAUAGGAGUAACCUGUCUAAAGCAUUUAGCAAUGGGAUUGGAACCUGCGACGUUUGACUCAUCUGAAUACUGAAUUUUGAUACCAAGCAUGAUCAUGAUUUGCCAGAAGAUCAUCUGUUUGGAUGUGACAUGGAAUAAACAGCAUAGUGAAAAUAUGUCAAUUUUUGGUUUGUGAAGACAAUUUUUAAACACACUGUGUAUCAUUUUUAAAUUUUGAUUUGACAACAUAAAUCCACAAAUAUGAACAUAUCAAUUGAACUCAGUUUUUCAAGUGAAAUAGUUUUUGUAACAGAAAUACAUGUACCAGUAAUUACAUUGGAAUAAAUGUUAUUUUUAAAUAU